AUCAUAAGUCAAAAAAUGCAUUUAAUGCACCUAAUGUACCAAACAUCAUGGCCCAGCCUAGCCUACCUUAAAUGUGCUCAGAGCACUUACAUUUGCCUCCAGUUGGGCAAAAUCAUCUGACACAAAGCCUGUCUUAGGAUAAAUGGUUAAGUAUCUCAUGUAUUUUACUGUACUGAAAGUGAAAAACAAUAGUUGUGUGGAUACAGAAUGGUUGUAAGUGUGCAGGUUGUUUACUCUCAUGAUUGCUGGCUGGCUGUCAGCUAUGGCAGCGUCACGAGCGAGGAUUGUCCCAUACAUAGACAGCCUGGAAAAAAUCAAGUUCAAAAUUCAAAGCGCAUUCUCUAAAGAACACAUCACUUUCACACCAUCCUUGAGUCAAACCAUCAUCAGUUGGAACUAAGUACAUAAAACUUACUAAACAAACUUAAAAAUCAUUUGUUGUUCAUCCAAAUUUGAAAUUGGACUAGGAGUCCUGUAUUUUAUCUUAACGACCCUACUUCAUCCUCUUCUUGUUCUCUGACCUGUGCUGGGAACACUAGCAUAUAACCCUAAACCUAUUUCUUUCUCUGUAAGCUUUUUUGGAAAGGGCAUCUAUCACAUCAGUGGUUCUCAAAGUAUGGUACUGGACUAGCACCUGGAAAACAGACAGCAAAUACACAUUCUCAGCUUUUGACCCAGUCAUACAGAAUCAGGUCUUUUGGGGGUGGGGCCCAGUGCUCUUUGUGUUUUAAGAGGACCUUCAGUUGUUUUUUUUUUUUUUGGUUGUUGUUGUUCGUUUGUUUGUUUUUUAGGGCUGCACCUGUGGCAUAUGGAGGUUCCCAGGCGAGGGGUGGAAUCAGAGCACAGCCGCCGGCCUACAUCACAGCUCACAGCAAUGCCAGAUGCUUAACCCACUGAGUGAGGCCAGGGAUUGAACCUGCAACCUCAUGGUUCCCCGUCGGAUUCGUUUCCGCUGUGCCAUGACGGGAACUCCAGGAUCCUGUAUUUUCAUUUGUUAAGUUUGGCAACUGUUCCACAGGGUUUUUGUAAAAGCCUUAUUAGCUCUAUUAACCCUGUUUUAGAGAUGAAGGAAUUGAGGCACAAAGAGAUGAAGCAACCUACUCAUGGUCACAUAGCCUGGUUUGAAUCUAGGCUGUAGGAUCCCUGAAACCUGCCCAUAAUCACUAGACACAUCCUGUGCCUGCUGUCUGUGAAUAACCCAGCAUGUGGUGCUGUGCCACCACGGGAACUCCCCUUCAGUGAGGAUUUAAAUUGGGAGAACCACUGGUUUAAACAAUCACUUCUAAGAUGUUGCCUCCCAGAUCUUUAUCAUUAACCCUGAUUUCAUACCCACACUUCCCUCUAGCAUUUCAAACUGGGAAUAUCCUGUGGAAUGUUACAAUAUGGGGGGUGGGGGUGGGAAUAGCCCUAUAGGAGUUCCUGCUAUGGCUCAAUGGGCUCAGUGGCAUUUCUGGAGUGCUGGGUUGCAAGUUCAAUCCCCGGCCUGGCACGGUGGCUCAGGGAUCCAGUGUUGUGCGCAGAUCCGAUGCCUGGGCUGGGAAUUCCAUAUGCCACAGGAAAAAAAAAA
rnacentral:lncRNA from 1 species